rnacentral:rRNA from 1 species
GACGAACGCUGGCGGCGUGCUUAACACAUGCAAGUCGAACGGAAAGGCCCUGGCUUUGUGGGGUGCUCGAGUGGCGAACGGGUGAGUAACACGUGAGUAACCUGCCCUUGACUUUGGGAUAACUUCAGGAAACUGGGGCUAAUACCGGAUAGGAGCUCCUGCUGCAUGGUGGGGGUUGGAAAGUUUCGGCGGUUGGGGAUGGCCUCGCGGCUUAUCAGUUUGUUGGUGGGGUAGUGGCUUACCAAGGCUUUGACGGGUAGCCGGCCUGAGAGGGUGACCGGCCACACUGGGACUGAGAUACGGCCCAGACUCCUACGGGAGGCAGCAGUGGGGAAUAUUGCACAAUGGGCGGAAGCCUGAUGCAGCAACGCCGCGUGCGGGAUGACGGCCUUCGGGUUGUAAACCGCUUUCGCCUGUGACGAAGCGAGAGUGACGGUAAUGGGUGAAGAAGCACCGGCUAACUACGUG